UUUGGUGGCGAUGGCGAAGAGGUCACACCCGUUCCCAUGCCGAACACGGAAGUUAAGCUCUUCAGCGCCGAUGGUAGUUGGGGGUUUCCCCCUGUGAGAGUAGGACGCCGCCAAGC
rnacentral:rRNA from 3 species